rnacentral:misc_RNA from 1 species
AAGCCUCAAUAUCGUUUAUCUCCUACACAAGUAUUUUAUUAAAAGGAAAGUUACAAAUUAACAAUUAAAAACUAAGAACCAACACCAGCUCAUUUCCAAAAUCCUUGUUCAAGACAAGAAUUAAGGAAUACUUGAAAAUUUAGUUCUAACAAUAAGUUGUGCAACAGUAAAUGAUUGUUCUUAAGCUUAAGACAACAAGAAACCAAGAUCAUAACUUGAUGAAACUCAGAUAAGGCAAUGGUCUAGAAAACUGAGUUACAAGGGCGUUUUUAAACAAGAGGAAGAAGGUAGAUGAUUGUAUGUGUGUGUAAAGAGGGGGAAUUAAGCUUGCCAAGGAAGAGGAAAUGGAAAAGUGAGAGAACACUAGAAGAUCUCAAAAUAUACUUAUUCUAAACUGUAACACUAACUGAAUAGGGGAAUCGAUAUCUUUUAAACAGUAUCUCAAGCACAAAUGGAAAGGCCAAGUCAUCUGGUAACAGAAAUUGCC